rnacentral:rRNA from 1 species
AAAUUGAAGAGUUUGAUCAUGGCUCAGAUUGAACGCUGGCGGCAGGCCUAACACAUGCAAGUCGAACGGUAACAGGAAGAAGCUUGCUUCUUUGCUGACGAGUGGCGGACGGGUGAGUAAUGUCUGGGAAACUGCCUGAUGGAGGGGGAUAACUACUGGAAACGGUAGCUAAUACCGCAUAACGUCGCAAGACCAAAAAGGGGGACCUUCGGGCCUCUUG